rnacentral:rRNA from 1 species
GACGAACGCUGGCGGCGUGCUUAACACAUGCAAGUCGAACGGAAAGGCCCUGCUUUUGUGGGGUGCUCGAGUGGCGAACGGGUGAGUAACACGUGAGUAACCUGCCCCUGACUUUGGGAUAACUUCAGGAAACUGGGGCUAAUACCGGAUAGGAUCUCCUGCUGCAUGGUGGGGGUUGGAAAGUUUCGGCGGUUGGGGAUGGACUCGCGGCUUAUCAGCUUGUUGGUGAGGUAGUGGCUUACCAAGGCUUUGACGGGUAGCCGGCCUGAGAGGGUGACCGGCGACAUUGGGACUGAGGUACGGAGCAGACUCCUACGGGAGGCAGCAGGGGGGAGUAUUGCACAAUGGGCGGAAGCCUGAUGCAGCAACGCCGCGUGCGGGAUGCCGGGCUUCGGGUUGUAAACCGCUUUCGCCUGUGACGAAGCGUGAGUGACGGUAAUGGGUAAAGAAGCACCGGCUAACUACGUG